rnacentral:rRNA from 1 species
GAUGAACGCUGGCGGCGUGCUUAACACAUGCAAGUCGAACGAUGAAGCCCAGCUUGCUGGGUGGAUUAGUGGCGAACGGGUGAGUAACACGUGAGUAAACUGCCCUUAACUCUGGGAUAAGACUGGGAAACUGGGUCUAAUACCGGAUAGGAGCGUCCACCGCAUGGUGGGUGUUGGGAAGAUUUAUCGGUUUUGGAUGGACUCGCGGCCUAUCAGCUUGUUGGUGAGGUAAUGGCUCACCAAGGCGACGACGGGUAGCCGGCCUGAGAGGGUGACCGGCCACACUGGGACUGAGACACGGCCCAGACUCCUACGGGAGGCAGCAGUGGGGAAUAUUGCACAAUGGGCGCAAGCCUGAUGCAGCGACGCCGCGUGAGGGAUGACGGCCUUCGGGUUGUAAACCUCUUUCAGUAGGGAAGAAGCGAAAGUGACGGUACCUGCAGAAGAAGCACCGGCUAACUACGUG